AGGCUCAGUUUUGCUUAGUUGUUAUCUUAUGUGCAUAUGGAAUCCUACAUUCAGAAUGUAGGGGACUAAGAAUGAGUAGUUCAUUGUAUACUUAAUGUAUUAACAAUGUGGACACAGCAAAAGUCAAACAAACCACAUGAA